rnacentral:rRNA from 1 species
UACGUAGGUGGCAGCGUUGUCCGGAUUUACUGGGUGUAAAGGGCGUGCAGCCGGGCUGACAAGUCAGAUGUGAAAUCCCGCGGCUCAACCGCGGAACUGCAUUUGAAACUGUCAGUCUUGAGUACCGGAGAGGUCAUCGGAAUUCCUUGUGUAGCGGUGAAAUGCGUAGAUAUAAGGAAGAACACCAGUGGCGAAGGCGGAUGACUGGACGGCAACUGACGGUGAGGCGCGGAAGCGUGGGGAGCAAACAGG